rnacentral:rRNA from 1 species
UACAGAGGGGGCAAGCGUUGUUCGGAAUUACUGGGCGUAAAGGGCGCGUAGGCGGCCUUCUAAGUCGAACGUGAAAUCCCUGGGCUCAACCCAGGAACUGCGUCCGAUACUGGAAGGCUUGAAUCCGGGAGAGGGAUGCGGAAUUCCAGGUGUAGCGGUGAAAUGCGUAGAUAUCUGGAGGAAUACCGGUGGCGAAGGCGGCAUCCUGGACCGGCAUUGACGCUGAGUGAGCGAAAGCUGAGGGAGCAAACGGG